rnacentral:rRNA from 1 species
UACGGGGGGGGCAAGCGUUGUUCGGAAUUACUGGGCGUAAAGCGUGCGCAGGCGGUUGUGCAAGACCGAUGUGAAAUCCCCGGGCUUAACCUGGGAAUGGCAUUGAGGACUGUGGAGCUCGAGUGCGGCAGAGGGAGGUGGAAUUCCACGUGUAGCAGUGAAAUGCGUAGAGAUGUGGAGGAACACCGAUGGCGAAGGCAGCCUCCUGGGCCGACACUGACGCUCAUGCACGAAAGCGUGGGGAGCAAACAGG